rnacentral:rRNA from 1 species
UACGUAGGGGGCAAGCGUUGUCCGGAAUUAUUGGGCGUAAAGAGCGUGUAGGCGGUCCGGUAAGUCAGCUGUGAAAGUCAAGGGCUCAACCCUUGAAAGCCGGUUGAUACUGUCGAGCUCGAGUCCGAAAGAGGCGAGUGGAAUUCCUGGUGUAGCGGUGAAAUGCGCAGAUAUCAGGAGGAACACCAAUGGCGAAGGCAGCUCGCUGGGACGUGACUGACGCUGAGACGCGAAAGCGUGGGGAGCAAACAGG